rnacentral:sRNA from 1 species
GCUAGGUUUGGUGGCGCAUGCCUGUAAUCCCAGCAGCUCUGGAGGCUGAGGCAGGAGGAUCACAAGUUCAAAGUCAGCCUCAGCAAAAGCGAGGCACUAAGCAACAGUGAGACCCUGUCCCUA